rnacentral:lncRNA from 1 species
UGUGGGGUGCUGGGGGUGCUCUAUGGGGUGCCGGGGGGGCGCUAUGGGGCGCUGGGGGGCGCUCUGGGUGCUGUGGGGUGCUGGGGGUGCUCUGAGCCCCACGGAUGCUGCAGGGACCGCGGGUGCCGUGGGUGCUGCGGGUGCCCUGAGGUGCUGCGGGUGCUGCAGCGGCUGCAGGUACCAUGGGUCCCAUGGGUGCUGUGGGUCCUGGGGGUCCCGGGGGGGCGGGGGGGGUCCCAUGGGUGCUGGGGGUCCCGUGGGUGCUAUGGGUGCUGUGAGCCCCGUGGGUCCCAAGGGUGCUGGGAGCCGAAUGGGUGCCAUGGGUCCCAUGGGUGCUACACUUGCUGUAAGUGCUGGGGGUCCCAUGGGUGCUGGGGGUCCCAUGGGUGCUGUGGGUCCCAUGGGUGCUGGGGGUCCCAUGGGUGCCACGGGUCCCAUGGGUGCCAGGGAUCCCAUGGGUGCUAUGAGCACUGCAGGUCCCAUGGGUGCUGAGGGUCCCGUGGGUGCUGGGAGUCCCGUGGGUGCUGGGACUCCCACGGGUGCGCGGGACCCAUGGGUGCUGGUGUCCCAUGGGUGCUAUGGGAGCUGUGAGCGCCACCGAGUCCCAUGGGUGCUGGGACUCCCAUGGGUGCUGGGGACCCCCCCGGGUGCUGCAGCACCCAUGGGUGCCGGUGUCCCAUGGGUGCCGGUGUCCCAUGGGUGCUGGGAGUCUCAUGGGUGCUGGGGACCCCCCGGGUGCGCGGCACCCAUGGGUGCCGGUGUCCCAUGGGUGCCAGGGAUCCCAUGGGUGCUAUGAGCACUGCAGGUCCCAUGGGUGCUGGGAGUCCCACGGGUGCUACGGGAGCUGUGAGCACCACCGGGUCCCAUGGGUGCUGGGAGUCCCAUGGGUGCUGGGGACCCCCUGGGUGUGCGGCACCCAUGGGUGCCGGUGUCCUAUGGGUGCUGGGAGUCCCACGGGUGCUGGGGACCCCCCGGGUGCGCGGCACCCAUGGGUGCCGGUGUCCCA